GCAUCCAAUUACUAAGAACUACGAAGGAAUCUUUCCGCAGGAACAACAAAACGUAAUGCAACUCCGCAAACCAGGUCACCACUUUGUGGCGAAGGAAACUAUUGUUUAUCUAAGUGAAACAUAUCGCUGCGCAGUGAUCAAGGUGACACCUACCCUACGAGGUCAUCCACCCUAUUAUGACCUCCGUGUUUGGAAUUCCGUAGUUGGGCAAGGCCCUCACGAAAAAUGUGUUUCACGAUUCACGAAACUCGCACAGAGAGGACACGUUAUUUAUGACUCGACGUGCCAGAGCAUUCUGCACUAUAAAGGUCGUUGAAUUUAGGAGAGAGAAAGAACGAAGAACCGAAAGCACGAGGCCAUUUCAUGAACUUUCUUGAUGUAGUGGCAUCAGAUAUACGACAAUAAAGCGAAGACAACGACAGCACUGUUAUAUGCGCAGAAAUAAAAUUGAG
rnacentral:lncRNA from 1 species